ensembl:lncRNA
GCUGGAUACGUUGUUUCUGAAACAAGUAUUGACCUGCCAGGGCACGUAACGUCUCAACAGCUUUCAGAAUUGCCAAUAGCCCAUUGUUUAUAUUAUUAGUUUUUAUUGUGCCUUUUCCAAGGGAGCAAAAUCAUUCCAUGUCCUUCAUGCUCACCCAUGCUUCAAGAGGAAAAGCCAAAUGUUUCAAAAUGUCGUCCCAGGGUCCUGUCCUUUACACCCACGGACGGGAGGGUGCUUAGAACUUUUCAUCAUGCUCCCCCUCCACCCAGACCCUCCACACCACAACCUGCUCAAGUAUUGGCCUCAGCGCCCGUGAAAUGUUUUGAUUCAUACACAGAUAACGCACACACAUCUCUUCUGUUGUCGAGCUGUGGUUUGGAAACACAGAUCGCUCUGUCAGCACGAGGAGUCAUUUUCUGUGUGUGUCCCAUCUGUAUUACUUGUUCAUGUCCGUGUCUAGUGCUCUUCCAGCAUUUUGCUUGUUUAUCUUCAUCUCUUCUGUGUCGUGUUGAGUCUAACCUCAUUCUGGUUUUUUUUGAUUAGGACAUUAAUCAACAUGUCAGCCAGAGCAUCAAUAUAAAUAUGCCGGAGUUAGCUUAGUUGCUAAUUUACAUCCGUUGUCCUAAGGAGGUGACCUACGGCCCCCCCGGGGCUGGACCUGUCCAUGGCGCACUGCGCCGACCUCAGCGGCCCAGCUGACGCCGCCUGGGCCGUCCACCUGAAGGACCCCGGAGAACAAGUGGGAGUGUCUUUUUAUUGGCGGUGGAGGGGAGGCAGUGAGUGCAGAGCCGUGGUUUCGGCCCCGAAAAUACCUGGAGCGUUAUGUUAUUCGGUUGACAUCACAAGACUGUCGACAUCAAUCCCGCAGAAUGUGGUGCGAUGCGGUAGUGAUAGGGCAGUGGAUCCUCAGAAGUAAGACCUCAAAGCAGUUAGUUACAGAACAAGCAAAUUAUUUUGCUUCUAUCAUGGAAAUGGUGUUCCAGGCUUUGGGCCGUCACGGUUAUGGAGCCGGCUACUGUUUAAUAUUUCAGCUGGUCUGGGCUAAUAACAUUGCUUAAAAGAUAGGGGUGAAACGGAUCAGUGUGUCCACG